CAUAGCCUCUAUUUAGUAUUUACCAUGUAGGUGUCCAACCUUUUUUGUUUUUUCCCUAACCGCUUUCUUAAUGAGUCUACUGAGAUUAUCCAUAACCAAAUCAAAUCAUACUUUAAAAUAGUGCCGCUAUAGCGGCCUGGCCUGGCAUGGCAUAGCGCUAUGCCAUAUCCGGAUCUAACUUUUAAAUAAAUAAUAAAAGUCUGUUUUAAAAGUUAAAACAGACCAGGCCCCAGGGUUUCCAGACUUCAUUCCUUCUUCAUGUUGGAUGUUUUUAUUUUUCUGUUUAUAGAAUAAGAUUUUUAAAUUUUGUAGACUUUAGUAUGUCUUUCUCCGACGAAGAAAUUCGAUCUGUUCAUUCCGACGACGGAAGCGAAUCGGAUGAGGAAAGUCCGGAUAGACCGACUGUCGUUCAUCCAUCGUUCGAGGAAUCUGUGAUUAACUCAUUAACGAUUGGUCAUUAAGGCCUAAUAAUGCCAAAAAUGAUCCGACGUGGAAGUAUGAGAUUAGAAAAGAUCCGAC
rnacentral:lncRNA from 1 species